GACGAACGCUGGCGGCGUGCUUAACACAUGCCAGUCGAACGGAAAGGCCCUGCUUUUGGGGGGUGCUCGAGUGGCGAACGGGUGAGUAACACGUGAGUAACCUGCCCUUGACUUUGGGAUAACUUCAGGAAACUGGGGCUAAUACCGGAUAGGAGCUCCUGCUGCAUGGUGGGGGUUGGAAAGUUUCGGCGGUUGGGGAUGGACUCGCGGCUUAUCAGCUUGUUGGUGGGGUAGUGGCUUACCAAGGCUUUGACGGGUAGCCGGCCUGAGAGGGUGACCGGCCACAUUGGGACUGAGAUACGGCCCAGACUCCUACGGGAGGCAGCAGUGGGGAAUAUUGCACAAUGGGCGGAAGCCUGAUGCAGCAACGCCGCGUGCGGGAUGACGGCCUUCGGGUUGUAAACCGCUUUCGCCUGUGACGAAGCGUGAGUGGCGGUAAUGGGUAAAGAAGCACCGGCUAACUACGUG
rnacentral:rRNA from 1 species